GGCUACACUGAAAGAACAACAAUCGUCGGUGAUCAUCGGAAAUCUGAUCAGCGCUUCAAGCGCGUCGGCUUUAAUACAUGAGUCAUCGAAGUUUCCAGAGUAAUCGCUCGUGCCCGCGCGUCUUCCAGAAAGUCCUGCACCUUUCACGUCGCGCAUACACGCAAUAACUUUACAUAAAGAUCGGUGACAACGGAAAGCGGAUAUAAACAUCGAUAACACUCGAGAAACUGUCGGUACAAGCAGGCGCGUCCUGCGCUGAACGAUAACAGCUCUUAGACGGUGAAACAUGGUCCCCUGAACAAGCACACGCGCCAAUCUCUAGCGUAAAAAAAACAUUGCACAUUUCAAUAAAAUUGGAAAGCGUACAGAGUAGGGAUACGUAAUUAAGCAUGAUAUUAGUAAAGGAACAUGAGUGAGGGUCGACUGUUUGCAUGCUCCUAAAUGGCAAAAGCAUAUUUUUUUCAGAGGCAAUUGACGACAAAGUUCCCGUUAUGCCUUUUAUGUCAGCUUGCUUGUUUAUUAAGUGUGGAUUGUGACUGCGCUUUAGUUGAACAGUCCUCUACCUGGGUAUUCAAAUCCCUGUCAUGUUCAUCAGAUAACAAAAACUUAACCACUUUACCAAGGAGGCUCUUUCCCCCUUUUCUUUCUCGUUCUUUAUAGGCCACCCGUGCAUUCGAAGCGAUAAUACACGUUGAUUUAAUGUCCACAAAUUACUCAUGCUCCUGUUUCUGCUAUUUCACAGAUAAGUCUUCUUUAUAAGAAAAUUCCAUGUUGUUCCAAUGUCGUUGAAAAUGAUUGACCUGAGAGAUUGUGUUUGUUUUUCACCACUUUACAGAUGGAGAAAGGCAGAAGCUGAACAACCUUUAUCAUGGAAGCCACCUCUACCAGCGUAGUGCAUCAAUGUGUCUACUUCGACAAAAUGGAGCACCAGUGCAUAUAUCUGGGCUUACCUGUCCAAGGCAGCAAGUGUGGCUACAUUGAAACCACUACGAGCAUGUGCGGCUGUUCUAUUUCCAGCGGGACUGCAGAAUAUUCAGUAGUGUGCUCUCAAGCUGUUCAUCGAUGAAGCUCUGCCUGGACCGUGGGGCAAAUAUUUUUGGACGUGAAAGUGGGAGUGAACUGGUAAACAUCAGUGGAACUGUGCCUGGACUCUGUGGCAAAUAUUUUUGGAUGUGAAAGUGUGGGCGAACUGGCUAAAAAUUGGCUCUGGACUACAUGUGUUAAGCCUUUUUUCUCAUUCAGAGUGCUUUUUUCUUUAUUUUACUUUAUUUUUUAUUUUAGGAGACUGGAGAUGUGCGCAAAGUGUGACAUGUCAGUGGGCUAAUUAAUGUGUUUGCUGGUUUGCAAAUUAUUCUUUGCAAUUUUGUUUUUGCCAGAGUGGUACAAAUGUGCAUCUUGUACGGGGCUUUUUAGAUAAACCAAUUACUACUUAUUAUGACCAUUGCUUCCUUUGUUACACAAAUGCAGCUUCCAGUGCAUUCCAGUCUAUUUCCAUGUUUAUGUAAGUUUCUAAUAUGAGGCUUCCGUAUUCAUUUCUCACGUUAUGGAGUGGCAAGAUGCAGCAUUAAUCAGUCUCAUCGUUCACCGUACUACAGUAGUGCUUACUUGUUACACUGACUCCCCCGUUUAAGUAUUUUGUACUAGAUUUUUCACUUUAUUGCUUUUUUGUUGUAUAGUUCUUUUUCUAGCCAUUACCUUCUGUGAUAUAUCCUAAAGGCAAUAUUUCCAAUUUUGCAUUGUUGCCAUUGUUUGAUUUCUGUCACAGGAUUGUUUUAUGAUGGUAUGCGGUGGUAUUUUUUAUUGUGCUCUUUUCAAGCUUCUAGAUGAUUGGUAACAUUGCUUGGAGGCAGUUACCAUCCGAUUCAAGCUCUUGCAUUUUUCAGUCUACUUCUUCCAUUCGCUCCGAUGUCACUGCUGGAUAACUCUAGUCCAUCUAAUAGCACGUGCUCUUUACUAUGAUAAAUGAGAAACCUUAGUACACUCCAUGUUUUUCUUUUAAUUUUUGUAUGUGUACUUGGAAAUUUGUUUAUGUACUAGUGAAUGCUCACUUUCGAGUUCAUUACAAAUCCUUUCUGCGAUUUUUGUCAUUGUUGAUGUAUUUUACUUCUAUUUGCAUUUCUCACACAUUUUGCUUGAACCUUGCAUAAGCAUUACAUUUUAAUAAAGUGUUUUUGCUCGGU